rnacentral:lncRNA from 1 species
UCCGCGUGUGCCUGUCUGGGUGUGCGCGUUCCUGCUCCUGGAGGAUGUCAGGGAGAUGUGUACUGGGAUGUGCUGAUGCUACUUGAGAAGAGCUUGCUUAUCAAAAUCGCCUGGCAUCCGCUUAACUGGAAAAUCUGGUUUGGGGAGGCCAAGGGGGCCCUGUAGGAUUGUGAGGAAGCCUCACACUGUGUUCGCUCUUCCCCGGAGAGGCGCAGUUCAGCGAGAUGCGUGGGACGCGUGAGAGUCGCUGGUGCAGCGCUCGACGCACCCUAGAUUGGCCCUGGUGAGGACCUCAUAGAGUAGUCAUCUUUCUAACAGAUUGAAGUAAUCAAGUCAAACCAGCAUAACCUCUGGUCCUUAGAAUUCUCUGGCUACUUUCCUAGCACCGAUAGAAACAUGCGCUGCCUUUAUUUAUGGCUAGCGAUGUAGCAGUUGGGUGAACUCGGGCAUACGAACCACCUCCAGGGUGUCUCCUCCCUGUGUUCCAUGUGAUCCUUGCCUGCAGUAGUUAGAGAACAUUGUAAACAACAGUGUAAGCAUCCACAGUCUCCUUUAGAGCUGAACCUAUUGGUGUCUGUUUUGUUUACUUUCCUGGGUGGAUUACUCAUUAGGAAGUAUAAGCCUUUUUGCACGUCUGAUUUUACAUCCUUUCAGCCAGCUGCUGGGGAAAUGAGACGCAUACACUCUGGCAGGAGGAAAAACUAUCUUCUGUGUUUGCUCCGAAGUAAAUAGGCGGUCUGCUAAUUUUAGUGUCACAUGGGCUACCAUCCUAGUUAAAGAAUGUCAUCGUAGAAUUUGCAAAAAAACACUUCAGUGAUUUUUCAUUUGGAGAUCGUCCUGUAUCUCCCUGUGAGAUACCAGAGCUUAGAUUUCCCUAAUAUAUUUUUCAGUCUGUAAUGGUACCAAAUUCUUUGGAGUUCUGGCACCCAAUUUAUCUGUGUGUGGAUUGCUAAUAAAAUUGCCAGUUCUUUUUUAGUAUCACCAAAAGAGGAUAUCAGAUAAUUUGUGUAGGAGUUAGGAGGAUAUUUGUGUUCUGUCAGCUUUGUUUCAUCCAAUCUUUCUUUCUCCUCUUCCUUUUUUCUUUUUUUUUCUUUUGUAACUAAAGAAAGGGUAAAGAAUGUACAAGGUAAACAAUUUGUCAAUAGUUGCUUUUGCAAUGAUAACUACUUUUAAAUUUCAGUAAUUA